ensembl:lncRNA
CUUUAGUAAAUCUGUUCAUUAUUAAAAUCAUCAAUAAUUGUUACUGUUUACGUUCAAGUAUCAGUGAUUGUGUAAUAGUAGCACAGUGUUUGUGGCUUUACAGAGAUAGCAACUUUCAGAGCUGUCACUCUGAGGAGCUAGCAGGACCAGAAAAAUUUCAGAAUGGAGCUCUAUUUGUAGAGCUAUCUAUCUGUAGGAGAUAAAAAAUAAUUUUGUUAUUGUGUUAAAAUAUAGUGUUUUUGUUUUUCAGUCACAUGGUUCUGCGAAAAGACAUUAAGGAACUUGAUGGUGAAAUGGAUCCAAAAGCAGAAGCCAGCCUCAAGCCAGUGCUGAAUGCAGCAUGGGAUUUCCAGUGCAAUGGUACUGUGCCUAGUGCAUGGAGGACUGAGAUAAAGGAUGAAAGUUCCAGCAGUGAUGAAAACGAUGAGGAAGAAGAAGAGGUGCAGGAAGAUGGUGGCAGCAGUGAGGAAGAAGAGGUAAGAACAUUCAAAUAACCGAGGACAUCCGGUGUAGUUUUAUACCGUAUCCAUAAUAGUACACACACACACACACACACACACACACACACACACACACACACACACAGAGAUAUAUAUACUGCUCUAAAAAAGUAUUUGCCCCAUCCUGAUUUCUUCUGUUUUUGUGUAUAUCCCAUACAAAAUAGUUUUAGAUCUUCAAAUGAAAUAAAUUACAAAAUUCCUCCAGUAGCAGAAUGACUACUCAGUCAUUGUGCUCCUGGAGGAAUUUUCGAAGGUUGGCUACUUCUGGGAAGGCUCACUACUGUGCCGAAUUUUUCCAUUUGGAGAUAACCGCUAAGGCUUGUAUCUAAGGACCUACAGGCCUCUCUUGCAAUAAAAAGUCACUGUUCAUGACUCCACUAUCAGAAAGACAUUCGGCAAAAAUGGCAUCCAUGAAAGAGUGGUGAAGAGAAAACCACUGCUAACCCAGAAAAACAUUAAGGCUUGUCUGAAUUUUGCCAAAACACACCUUGAUGAUCCUCAAACCUUUUGGGAGAAUGUUCUGAUCUCCAGUUAAUGGAAGUGUUUGGUUGCUGUUAUUGCUGCUAAAGGUGGCACAACCAGAUUUUACGUUGUGGCACCUUUUAAAUUAGUUUUUCACAUGGUGAUAGGUGGGUUUUUUUUUUUCUUCAAUAAAAAAUAAAUAAAAACUGUAUUGUGUGUUUACUCUCAGGUUGCCUUUGUUUUAUGUUCUAUUUUAUAAAUAUACAUGAAUACAUUUUAUGAGUAGUCAUUGUGUUCCUGGAGGAAUUUUGUAAGGUCGGCCACUUCUGGGAAGGUUCACUACUGUGCGGAAUUUGCCCAUUUGGAGAUAACAGCUCUUACUUUAAAGUUCAGUAUCCCAUCACCAGUCUUUGAAAGUUUAAGAUUGCACCAAUACCACUAGCCCCCCUCUUUUCCUCUUACCACUCACCCCAUGUUGAAUGACGUUUCAUAGAUUUGGGGAAUUAGUAACUAUGGGGUAACUACUACAUUUUCACACAGGCCCAGUUGGUAUUGGCUAACUUUUUGGCUUCAAUAAAUAACUCUAUCAUUUAAAAUCUGUACUUUUUUAUUUAUUAUUAUUUUAUUUUUUUAUUUCGGCUCAAACUAACAAUCUCCAGUUUCAUUUCUGCUGAACAUUUCUGCUGAACAUUUCUGCUGAACAUUUCUGCUGAACAUUUCCACUGAACAUUUCCACUGAACAUUUCCGAUGAACAUUUCUGCUGAUCAUUUUUGCUGAACAUUUCUGCUGAACAUUUCCGCGGAAUAUUUCCGCUUAACAUUUCCACUGAACAUUUCUACUGAUCAUUUCUACUGAACAUUUCUAGUGAACAUUUCCGCUGAACAUUUCUAGUGAACAUUUCCGCUGAACAUUUCUACUGAACAUUUCCGCUGAACAUUUCUGCUGAACAUUUCCGCUGAACAUUUCUGCUGAACAUUUCCGCUGAACAUUUCUGCUGAACAUUUCCGCUGAACAUUUCUACUGAACAUUUCUAGUGAGCAUUUCUAGUGAACAUUUCUACUGAACAUUUCCGAUGAACAUUUCUGCUGACAUUUCCGAUGAACAUUUCUGCUGAACAUUUCCGCUGAACAUUUCCGCUGAACAUUUCUAGUGAACAUUUCCGCUGAACAUUUCUUCUGGACAUUUCCGCUGAAACAUUUCUUCUGGACAUUUCCGCUGAACAUUUCUUCUGGACAUUUCCGCUGAACAUUUCUUCUGGACAUUUCCGCUGAACAUUUCUUCUGGACAUUUCUGCUGAACAUUUCUUCUGGACAUUUCUGCUGAACAUUUCUUCUGGACAUUUCUGCUGAACAUUUCUGCUGAACAUUUCUUCUGGACAUUUCUGCUGAACAUUUCUUCUGGACAUUUCUGCUAAACAUUUCUGAUGAACAUUUCUACUGAUCAUUUCUGAUGAACAUUUCCACUGAUCAUUUCUAGUGAACAUUUCCGCUGAACAUUUCUAGUGAGCAUUUCUGAUGAACAUUUCUACUGAACAUUUCUAGUGAACAUUUCCGCUGACAUUUCUACUGAACAUUUCUACUGAACAUUUCUGAUGAACAUUUCUAGUGAACAUUUCCGAUGAACAUUUCCGCCGAACAUUUCUAGUGAACAUUUCCGCCGAACAUUUCUAGUGAACAUUUCUGCUGAUCAUUUUUACUGAACAUUUCUAGUGAACAUUUCUGCUGAACAUUUCUAGUGAACAUUUCUGCUGAACAUUUCUUCUGGACAUUUCUGCUGAACAUUUCUACUGAACAUGUCUGCUGAACAUUUCUAGUGAACAUUUCCGCUGAACAUUCUAGUGAACAUUUCCGCUUAACAUUUCCGCUUAACAUUUCCGCUUAACAUUUCCGCCGAUCAUUUCCGCCGAUCAUUUCCGCUGAACAUUUCCGCCGAACAUUUCUACUGAUCAUUUCUACUGAACAUUUCCGCUGAACAUUUCUAGUGAGCAUUUCUAAUGAACAUUUCUGAUGAACAUUUCUGCUGAACAUUUCUGCUGAACAUUUCUAGUGAACAUUUCUGCUGAUCAUUUCUGCUGAACAUUUCUGCUGAACAUUUCUGCUGAUCAUUUCCGCUGAACAUUUCUGCUGAUCAUUUUUACUGGACAUUUCUAGUGAACAUUUCUAGUGAACAUUUCUGCUGAACAUUUCUAGUGAACAUUUCUGCUGAACAUUUCUAGUGAACAUUUCCGCUGAACAUUUCUAGUGAACAUUUCCGCUUAACAUUUCCGCUUAACAUUUCCGCCGAUCAUUUCCGCCGAUCAUUUCCGCUGAACAUUUCCGCCGAACAUUUCUACUGAUCAUUUCUACUGAACAUUUCCGCUGAACAUUUCUAGUGAGCAUUUCUAAUGAACAUUUCUGAUGAACAUUUCUGCUGAACAUUUCUGCUGAACAUUUCUAGUGAACAUUUCUAGUGAACAUUUCUGCUGAUCAUUUUUACUGAACAUUUCUAGUGAACAUUUCUGCUGAACAUUUCCGCUGAACAUUUCUGCUGAUCAUUUUUACUGGACAUUUCUAGUGAACAUUUCUAGUGAACAUUUCUGCUGAACAUUUCUAGUGAACAUUUCUGCUGAACAUUUC